rnacentral:rRNA from 1 species
ACGGAGGGUGCAAGCGUUAAUCGGAAUAACUGGGCGUAAAGGGCAUGCAGGCGGUUAUAGAAGUAGGAUGUGAAAUCCCGGGGCUCAACCUCGGAACUGCAUUCUAAACUGAAUAACUAGAGUAUUGCAGGGGGAGACGGAAUUCCAGGUGUAGCGGUGGAAUGCGUAGAGAUCUGGAAGAACACCAAAGGCGAAGGCAGUCUCCUGGGCAAAUACUGACGCUCAUAUGCGAAAGCGUGGGUAGCAAACAG